CGACUCAACUUCAAACGCGGAGCCGCCACUAUUCCAGCAACGCUUCAACCCCCUACUUCAAGCUACCCAAACCUCCGCUACGAUCAUCCUUCCUCCAUCUCCACAUUCACCUCCACCAUCUCCACCACUAUCACCACCAUCGAAAACGUGAACAGAUCUGGAGAUUCUAAACUUUAACAUAUCUGGAGAUUAAGUUUUCAC
rnacentral:lncRNA from 1 species